CCUACGGGCGGCUGCAGUGGGGAAUAUUGGACAAUGGGGGAAACCCUGAUCCAGCAAUGCCGCGUGUGUGAAGAAGGCCUGCGGGUUGUAAAGCACUUUCGGUUGGGAAGAAAAGUUUGGCGCCAAUACCGCCGAACCUUGACGUUACUGACAGAAGAAGCCCCGGCUAACUCUGUGCCAGCAGCCGCGGUAAUACAGAGGGUGCAAGCGGUGAUCGGAAUCACUGGGGGUGGAGCGGGAAUAGGUGGUCGAAAUCCCCGGGCUUAACCUGGGAACUGCAUUCGAUACUACAUGGCUAGAGUAUGGUAGAGGGAAGUGGAAUUUCCGGUGUAGCGGUGAAAUGCGUAGAUAUCGGAAGGAACACCGAUGGCGAAGGCAGCUUCCUGGACUAAUACUGACGCUGAGGCACGAAAGCGUGGGUAGCAAACAGGAUUAGAUACCCCAGUAGUC
rnacentral:rRNA from 1 species